UACGUAGGGUGCAAGCGUUGUCCGGAAUUAUUGGGCGUAAAGAGCUCGUAGGCGGUCUGUCGCGUCUGCUGUGAAAACUCAGGGCUUAACCCUGAGCUUGCAGUGGGUACGGGCAGACUAGAGUGCGGUAGGGGAGACUGGAAUUCCUGGUGUAGCGAUGAAAUGCGCAGAUAUCAGGAGGAACACCGGUGGGCGAAGGCGGUUCUCUGGGCCUUACCUGACGCUGGAGGAAGCGGAAAGCAUGGGGAGCAAACAGG
rnacentral:rRNA from 1 species